UGACAGACUUCCGAGUCGAAACGUGGAGUGAAGAGUAGACAAUGUGGCGCCGGAGCUUUAGCACGACGCCUGGUCAAUUGACUAAGAAGAAAUGGGACGCGUUAGUGAUCGGCGGCGGCCACAACGGUUUGGUAGCUGCAGCUUACCUAGCGCGCGGCGGUCUCUCCGUCGCAGUUCUCGAGCGACGCCACGUCAUCGGCGGGGCGGCAGUGACGGAGGAGAUCGUCCCCGGCUUCAAAUUCUCGCGUUGCAGUUACGUCCAGGGGCUAAUCCGUCCAUGCAUCAUCAGGUUUUUCAAACUCUUGAAAAACUUCUUUCGAUUUCUAGCUAAUUGGCGCGUUCUCUCUGAUCAUGGAUUGUGAUGGAUUCAGUGAUUUGGAGUUAGGCAGACACGGGCUGAAGCUUCUGAAGAGGAGUCCUGCGUCGUUUACGCCUUGUUUGGAUGGGCGUUAUCUUCUUCUAGGCCCAGAUCAGGCGCUUAAUCACUCUGAGAUUUCCAAGUUCUCGAGAAGUGAUGCUGAAGCUUACCCAAGGUGAUCUUGUUUUGGGCGUAAAUAGGAUAAUUUAAUUUCACUAGAACUUUUUUUUAUUUGGAUUUGCAGAUACGAGAAGCAGCUAGAGAGGUUUGGUAGAUUCAUGGAUACUCUCUUGGAUGCAGCUCCUCCAGAGUCUCUGCAAGGUGACUCUUCUUUUAAUGAUAAGCUGAGCAAUAAGUUGCACAAAUCUGCUUUCUGGGCUCGGUGUCUUCGGCAAGCAGCUUCUUUGGGGCAAAAGGAUAUGGUGUAUGAUUUCUUUUAUCUCUUUAUGUGCUUUGUUGAAAGCAUCCAUUGUUGAUUAAAUGUCUCCUCUUUGAUGCACUUGUGUUUUUAUGUUGUGAAGGGACUUCAUGGAUCUUCUGUUGGCCCCAGCUUCAAAAGUAUUGAACAACUGGUUUGAGGUGGGUUUCUGACCAUAGCAUGUCGUGGUCCUACGACUAGCUAUUAGUAAUGGUAAUUUCUGAUGUUAGUCGGUUUUUUGUUGGUCUGAUGCUUGCAGUCUGAUGUCCUGAAGGCGACUCUUGCAACCGAUGCUGUGAUUGGGUCUACGGUAAUUGGCUUUCCUAAUUUAGAUCUUGAGCUUUGAGGUUUCAAGGUUUUCUUGAAAUGGAGUCGUUUUGUGAUUUAUUAUUUUUAAUCUAAUGGAACGAGGGAAAGGUGAGAGAGAUGCUUCUUUACGUUUAUAUUGGGGAGUUAAUGUAGUGCUCUGAACAUUGAUUGACAGGCCAGUGUUCACACUCCUGGAAGUGGAUAUGUCUUGCUACAUCAUGUGAUGGGAGAAUCAGAUGGAGAGCAUGGCAUUUGGUCGUAAGUAUUCGAAAUAUCAUAUUGUAUUUUCUUCUAAAUGAAUUUGGCAAUGUAGAAAUAGUGGUGUAUGUUUUACAAAGGUCUGAAUGCGUAAGCAAUAGAAGAACUCUUUUUUACUUGAUAAUAAUAAAACAUGCAUUCUCGCGAGGGGUGAAUGAAGGGCACAAGAUGUAAGGUGUAACUCAGAUGAGUAGCUAAUAAGAAAUCUUAUGCAGUUACGUCGAAGGUGGGAUGGGCUCUGUCUCCAUGGCUAUAGCCAAUGCUGCAAAGGAAGCGACGCCUGGUCAAUUGACUAAGAAGAAAUGGGACGCGUUAGUGAUCGGCGGCGGCCACAACGGUUUGGUAGCUGCAGCUUACCUAGCGCGCGGCGGUCUCUCCGUCGCAGUUCUCGAGCGACGCCACGUCAUCGGCGGGGCGGCAGUGACGGAGGAGAUCGUCCCCGGCUUCAAAUUCUCGCGUUGCAGUUACGUCCAGGGGCUAAUCCGUCCAUGCAUCAUCAGG
rnacentral:lncRNA from 1 species